GUGUCAUCCUGAAGAACCGGUGAGCCAGCACAGUCCGAGUUGUGGCCAUUCUCAGUUAACACUUUCGGGAUCAGCAGCAGUUCUGCAUACUUACUGCAGCUUAACAGAGCACUAAGGGUCUUCAUAGCACCAAGGUAGAGCAUCAUCCCACUGCACCUUGGCUGAAGUGCUCCCUUCCUUGACUACACCUAAAAGAGUAGCAUGUCUUCCUGUUUGCUUGUGAAUGCAUCUGCCUCCAACUCGAAGACCGGUAUCCACGCCACCAAUUACUGCCAGCACGGGCCAUACCUCAGUGCACAGAGUCCUCAGCUGGAUUUCUGGGAAAACUCUAAUUGCCUGGGCGAUGGAAGAGGGACAGUGCUUAAAUAUCAAGACGUGGGAAACAGCCUGCCGCAGUGACAACUAUUGAUGCUUAACUGCUUCGACUUUAUGGUUAAACACAGUACAUGUUCUUGUCAAGAGUGUUUGCAUCCUGAAAAGCAUCAUACUCAAAUACACCACAGCUUAGUACGGCAACCCACGACUCUACAGAGAGUUGAAAACACAGCUCAGCACAUCACCGAAACCAGCCUCCCUUCCACGGACUCAUUCUGUAGCUCUCACUGUCUCAGUAAAGCACCGGGCAUAGUCAAAGGUCCCACCCACUCUGGACAUUCUAUCUUCUCCCCACUCCCACUGGGUGGAAGAUACAAAAAGCUUGAAAGCCCAUAGCAUCAGGCUCAAUGACAGCUUCUAACCCAGUGCUAUAUCCCAGAUUGCUGGAUGCUUCCCUAGUAUGAUAAGGUGUACUCUUGUCCUUACAAUCUACACUCAGUAGUAAUUGGGUAUCUUCUGCACUUAAUAAAGUGGCCAUUGAGUACAUGAUUGUGGUCUUCUGCUUCUGUAGCCCAUCCUCUUCAAGAUUCAACGUGUUGUGCAUUCAGAGAUGUUCUUUGCCACAUAAUUGUUGUAAUGCAAGGUUAUGAGAAUUAAUAUUGCCUUCCUGUCAGCCUGAACCAGUUUGGCCAUUCUCCUCUGACCUCCCUCAUUAACAAGGCAUUUUUGCCCACAGAAUGGCCAUUCACUUAAUGCUCUUUCUUUCUUGUUUCACCCUCUAAACUCUAGACUACCUCUCGACUAUUGCGUAUGAAAUAUCCAAAGAGAUUGGCAGUUUCUAAGAUACUCAAACCACCCUGUCUGGCACCAACAAUAAUUCCACAGUCAAAGUCACUUAAAUCAUAUUUCUUCCCCACUCUUGAUGUCUGGUCUGAAUACUAACUAAACCUUCUUGACCAUGUCUGCAUGCUUUUAUGUACUGAGUUGCUGCCACGUGACAGACUGAUUAGAUAUUGGCACUAACACGGAGGUGUACAGGUUUAUCUAAUGAAGAGGUCACCGAGUGUCUCCUGCUAUGACCUUGUCCCUGUCUAUCUAUCUUACUUUUUCUGUAAGGUAACACUUUAUUCUGCACUCUUAUUGUUUCACCUUGCACUGCCUCAGUGCCCCACUGUGAUGAACUGAUUUCUAUGGACAGUGUACAGCUUCUCCACCAUACCUGGCAAUAUGUGACAAUAAUAAACCAAUUUACCAACUUUUAAAUGUGACCCUCAUCUCAGGCGUUAUGAUCAUUUUGGUUUGAAAAGUUAUAGAUGGGGUUUCAGGGGACAUGGUCAAAUCCAAAUGGGCUUGCAGGCUUUUGUUUUUCUGGCACAAUCUCCUAACUAGUCAGGAAGAUUGUUGAGGCUCCAGGUGAGAUUUUUAAAUCUUCGUUGAUCACACAGUAUCAAGAAAAGAGAUCAGCCUUAUUUGUCACAUAUACAUUGAAACAUUUAGUGGAAUGUGUCAUUUACAUCAAAUCAAAUCAGUGGAUUAUGUUUCUGGCACCACCAUAGCAUGCUCACAACUCACUAACCCUAACCGUACACUUUUGGAAUGUGCGAGGAAACUGGAGCAGCUGGUAGAAGCCCACGUGGUCACAGGGAGAACAUACAAACUCCUGGCAGGCAAGGGCAGGAACUAAGCCCUGAUCAAGUGAUCACAGGUGCUGUAAAGUAAUGCUCUAAACACUAUGCUACCACGUCGCCCUGGAGUAGAGGUUGGUAGUUGUGGUCCCCUUCUUCAAGGAGAGCAACAGGGAAAAGGCUGAUAAUUGCAGACAUGUGAGGCUAAUAUCAGUAGUAAAGAAAUUGUUGGAUAAGAUUCUGAGGGACAGGUGGGAUAAAGGAUCAAAAGCAGGAAUUAAAGAUAGUCAGUAUAGCUUUGACCAAUCUGACUGAAUUGGUUUUUGAGGAGGUAAAUCCCACAUAGGAGAUUGGUGAGGGUUUAUGUGAUCCAAAGCAAGUUGGCAAAAUGGAUCUUAAAAUUGGCACAGCAGUAAGUCAGAAGAUUGUGAUCAGAUGCCUGUGACCAGCGAUGUACAAAGAUCAGUACUAGGACACUUGCUGUUUGUAUAAUUUGGAUGUGGUUCCUUAAGGUUGUCAUAGCUGGGUGGGUCAGUGGGGGGGUGGGGGGGGAGGUAGUGGGGAUAAGCUGCUACCUAUUAAAUGCUCCAAGUGGUGCGUGUCUUAAAUAGCCUCUGACAACCAAGUCCAGCAGCUGGUGUUCAUGUGAAGCUACUAAGCCCAGAAGAACCAUUUCUACUAACAAGAGAAGGGGCAAAGGCAGGUUACUGCCACUUUGAAACGAGUUGGUGUGGGCAGUUGUGUCUCAUCAGCCAUGGUUGGCAGCUCAUCUAAGCGAAGGAAAACUCUGAUCUCAAACUUCCACUGCCUUUUGGCUAUGAGGAGGGCUUCAGGAAUAAAUCCUGAGGUAAAAUCUGGAGCUAGAAUCAAUAAGGCAGCCCCACUGUGAGUUUAAUGAUAACUGGCAACUCUGAUGCUAUUAAUGCCAAACUCUAUUGGUCUCCACCAUUCCUUUGCAUUCAUCAGGAAAAGGGGAGCCUGCUGCAGAGAGAACAGCUUGCUCUCUAUAUCAUAUUGCGCUGGCUUGCCUAUUGGUUGACCCCGACCAACUGAGGCUACAAUUGGAUGUGGAUGUAAGUGGCAUGAUCAGUAAGUAUAGAGAUGACAUGAAGGUUGGUGGAGUUGUUGAUGGAGCGGAAAGUAGUUGGGUUAAGGCUAAUGUUGAUGACUGAUGUGCUGGUGAAAUGGGCAGAUAAAUGAGAGUUGGAGAUUAAUCCUGAUAAGUGACAGGUGACGCAUUUUGGCAGCAUUAAUGAAGAUAGGGCAUAUACCAUGAAAGUCCUGAAGAACAGAGGGAAUUUGGUGUGCAAGACUAAAUAUCCUUGAAGGUGCAGCACAGACAAAUAACGUGGUUAAGGAAGCUUAUAAGAUACUGGUCUUCAUUAGUUAGGACUUUGAACACAAGAGCAGAGAGGCCCUACUCCAACUAUGUGAAACAGUGGAGCACUGUGUGCAGAUCAAAGAAAAUUAAUUUCCAAAGUACGUAUAUAACCCUGUGAUUCAUUUUCUUGCAGGCAAAGUCAAUAAAUCCAAUAACCAUAACAGAAUCAAUGAAAGACCUCACCAACAGAUUGGUCAACCAGGGGCAAAAGGCAACAAACUGUGCAAAUACAAAAAGAAAGAAAAGAAAUAAUAAUAAAAAUAAUAAGCGAUAAGUAGCACGAACACAAGAUGAAGAAUCCUUGAAAGCACGAGGCAUAAACUCGAUUCUCACAGCACCUGCGCGAACGGGAGGUGGGUUGGUGAGUGGCUGGAUCUCCGUUUCCCCUAGACAUAUACUAGUCUUUUGGAUACAGCACAGAACAGGCUUUUCCAGCACUGCCCAGCAAUUCACCUUCUUAACCCGGGCCUAAACACAGGCUAGUUUACAAUGACCAAUUAAUCUACCAACUGGUGCAACUUUGGAAUGUCGGAGGAAAGCAGAGCACCCGGAGGAAAUCCAUGCGGUCACAGGGGGACAGCACUAGAACUGAACUCCAGAACACCCAUGCUGUAACCAUGUCAUGCUAACCACUACACCCCAAAUGGAAUGGAAUCAGGCUACAUAUGCAAACUGUGAAUGGCAUAACUUGAGGGAUUUGGCAGAAUGCAUUAUCAGUCCUCAGCUCAGUGCACCCUGUGCGCAACCCCUGCACUCAACGGUGAAUCCACAGGCUGAACAAGAUGGCAUCUCCCUGACUUCUAAAUUCCAAUGCCAGACCAGCCUGCAAGACGUACUCCACUCGAGGUCCAGCAGGAAACCAAAAGAUGCUGCCUGGCCUGCUGAGUUCCUGCAUUUUGUGUGCGUUGCCUUGGGUUUCUCAGCACCUGUAGAUUCUCUCCUGCUUGAGAAGACACAAAAACCUGGAAGCUCACGCCACCAGGCUCAAGGACAACUUUCACCCCGCUGUUUUAAGACUAUUGAAUGUUUGUCUAGUACAUUAAGAUGGACUGUUGAUCUCACAAUCUAUCUCGUUGUGACCCUGCACUUUACUGUGCAUGUUCUCGGCACUGUAACCCUUUAUUCUGCACUCAGUUACUGUUUUACCUGUACUACCUCAAUGCAUCAUUGCAAAGAGUUGAUCUGUAUGGAUUGUAUGCAAGACAAGUUUUUCCACUUGUAACUUGGUACAUGUUAGAAUAAUAAAUCAAUAAUGAUGCAAGUUUUAAUUAAUAUAGAAUACUUUUAAUAUAGUUGCUUUCUUUAUCCAACCUGAGUUUACAUAACCUUUUGCUGUAAAAAUUUAUAACAUUAGCUUAACCUCUAUGCAAUUUCACUUGGGGGGGGGUUCGAGAACCAAAUCUAUUCAAGGAAGAAAAGUGUUUACAGAGCAGAAAAUGGUUUCUAGACCAGGAAUGCAGAUAUAUAUAAGAUUGGUGUCUAAUGGCAACACCUUUGCUUGCAUCUUUAGAAACAGCUCUAUUUCCAUCUUUAAUAUCUCUAUUUUUCCUGAGAUCUUUGGGCACAGAGCUCGGAAAGAGCGACACAA